CAUGCAUUUUUAAUUUACUGCAUGCUUGGGUUGCUGUCAUCGAUCAUGUGGCCGUCCGGUUUCAGUAGCAUGCACGCACUCGCCAUGGAGGCAGGCAGGUGUCAGCAGCUGUAUUGUACUGUACCAAGCGAACGCGUUGGCCACUAAUAGCCCAAUUAGAGCAUCAAGGUGUCGCCUUCGACGUCGUUGAUCCACCCAAACUUGUCCAUGUACGGGUUGGCGAGCCUCUCCGGCGGGUAGCUGUCGAUGCAGCUCUCCCACGGCCCCUUGUCGGCCAUGUCGCCGGUCACCUCCCACAGGCAGCUGUUGCACUUGAACCCCGACCCGAAGGUCACCAUGAGCACCCUGUCCCCGACCUCGAGCCGUCCCUUGGCCUCCAUGUAGGAGAGCACGU
rnacentral:lncRNA from 1 species